rnacentral:rRNA from 1 species
UACGUAGGGGGCUAGCGUUGUCCGGAUUUAUUGGGCGUAAAGCGCGUGUAGGCGGCCAGGUAAGUCCGUUCUGAAAGCCCGGGGCUCAACCCCGGGAGGCGGAUGGAUACUGCUUGGCUCGAGUCCGGAAGAGGCGAGUGGAAUUCCCGGUGUAGCGGUGAAAUGCGCAGAUAUCGGGAGGAACACCAAUGGCGAAGGCAGCUCGCUGGGACGGUACUGACGCUGAGACGCGAAAGCGUGGGGAGCAAACAGG